rnacentral:lncRNA from 1 species
CUCCAUAUACUCCACAGACCCGCCACAACCUUUUGACAGGUCUCAUUUGAUUGAUUAUCCACUAAUUCCCAGAGCCAAGUGUCAAAGUCACUGACCUUGUCCAUCGCUGCCUCAAUACAAAUUUCAAUUCCCAAAUUCGCCCAACAUUCUUUAGAGAAUGGGCACUCCAAAAAGAGAUGCCAUGACUCCUCGAGAUUGUUGCCACAGAUACUGCAUUCCCUAGGUAUGGUCAUCCCAC